GAUACAUUUAUAUCCAGUGGCUACUCGAUGUCAUAAAACUAAAUAUAAAUCAGUAUGGGGAUCACUAUGACCCUCAUAUUGAUAAAAGGGAGGUUAAAUCCUCCUGCAUGCCGCGAUUAGGGACAUGUCGCCUAAACAGCUUGAAAUCCAACCAAUCAGAGUGCUCUGUGUCAUUUUACACAGCGUGGGAAAGUUCUUUAGAAUUGUCCCAUGCUGUGUAAUUUGUCUCAUAACCCUCUGAUUGGUUGCUUUUCAAAUUGAGUCCUUCUCUCACCAAUUUCUUUCAAAGUAUGUUGCAAUUUUCUUUUUGCUUGCCCUUA